GACGAACGCUGGCGGCGUGCUUAACACAUGCAAGUCGAACGAUGAACCCGGAGCUUGCUCCGGUGGAUUAGUGGCGAACGGGUGAGUAACACGUGAGUAACCUGCCCUUGACUCUGGGAUAACUGCGGGAAACUGUAGCUAAUACCGGAUACGACCCUCGGCGGCAUCGCCAGGGGGUGGAAAGAAUUUCGGUCAAGGAUGGACUCGCGGCCUAUCAGCUAGGUGGUGAGGUAACGGCUCACCAAGGCGACGACGGGUAGCCGGCCUGGGAGGGUGACCGGCCCGACUGGGACUGUGACACGGCCCAGGCUCCUACGGGGGGCAGCAGGGGGGAAUAUUGCACAAUGGGCGCAAGCCUGAUGCAGCAACGCCGCGUGAGGGAUGACGGCCUUCGGGUUGUAAACCUCUUUUAGUAGGGAAGAAGCGAAAGUGACGGUACCUGCAGAAAAAGCACCGGCUAACUACGUGCCAGCCGCCGCCGUAA
rnacentral:rRNA from 1 species